rnacentral:pre_miRNA from 1 species
AAGAGAAGAGCAUGUCAAGGUAGCCAAGGAGACAACCCUUAAACCAACCAAAAAGAUCACCAUUGUAUUAGUAAUGGAGUAAUCAAAAAACCUUUUAAGUAAUAGAACAGGCAAGUCAUCCUUGACUACUAAAUAAUAAUAUGACUCUUUUCU